GGGGGCGUCGUAUAAUGGUAGUACAGCGGUCUCCAAAACCGCUAGCGUGGGUCCGAUUCCUACCGCCCCUGCCA
rnacentral:tRNA from 1 species